AUCGAGGGAUUAACAACAGUUAUUACUCCCAACCAUGGGUUAAAUUAUUCAACUGUAGCAAAUGGCUAUACAGCUCUACCAUUUGGCGAAUCAUUGUAGUGGCGAAUCAUUGUUGUGGCGAGACAUUUAAAACUCGAAUUCAUGUAAACAAAUAGGUUAAAAAUGGCUACACACGUUGGGGUAGAUGUCGGAGUAUUUGUUGGAAGUAGCACAAUCGAGAAGAAGAAUGCGUCAAUAUUCGCUGGGCUUGCCUUUCUUGUGGGUGUUUUUGUUGGAUACAGUUUAAAAGGAUUAAGAAUAGCCUACUUAAAAAAGAAACACGAUUUCUUUGAUAGGCAGGCUAAGAAAGCGAAAGAACAGCUGACGAGAUAGAGGUUAAGCAUGCAGAUGUGUUCGAUUGUCGGAUCUACAACAUGCUAUGCAAUGUUCAGGACCAGGUCGAAUUGAAGAUGAACUGUCGAACACUGACAAAUGUAUUAAAAAAAACGACAACCAUUAACUGGGACAACAACAAUAACAACAACAACAACGUUUUUCUUGUGGGAUUUUUAGUCUUUAUCUUCAAGCAUAACAUUUUAUAAAUGAAGAAAAUUUAACUAAUCCUAUUCUGUUACAACUCCGAAGCAUGAACUGUAGAAUUGGAACUGUGAUAAUUUGGUGUAACAUAUUUUUAUGUUUUUGUAAAAAACAAUUCUGUGUUUUGAUGAUGCAUUUGUUACGUUCGAACUUCCAUUAUAUCAACGUAAUAGCCCAUUAAUUUGUAUAAUUUAUUUAGCUAUUUGUGAAACCGUUGGAUAAAGUGUUGGAAUGUU